AUUGAACGCUGGCGGCAGGCCUAACACAUGCAAGUCGAGCGAGCGGCGGACGGGUGAGUAAUGUCUGGGAAACUGCAUGAUGGAGGGGGGUAACUACUGGAAACGGUAGCUAAUAUCGCACACCAUCAGAUGUGCCCAGAUGGGAUGAGCUAGUAGGUGGGGUAACGGCUCACCUAGGAGACGAUCCCUAGCUGGUCUGUGAGGAGGACCAGCCACACUGGAACGGAGACACGGUCCAGACUCCUACGGGAGGCAGCAGUGGGGAUGAUUGCACAAUGGGCGCGAGCCUGAUGCAGCCAUGCCGCGUGUGUGAAGAAGGCCUUCGGGUUGUAAAGCACUUUCAGCUAGGAGGCGUUACCCGCAGAAGAAGCGCCGUCUAACUCCGUGCCAGCAGGCGUGGUAAUAC
rnacentral:rRNA from 1 species